ensembl:lncRNA
CUAUAAUUAAAAAUGGAACUCCUGCAUCCAGAGGAGUGUGUGGCAGCUCAAGCUGAAGAAUGAAUACCACAUUAAAACCUGACUGCAGGAGAUGAUCAGAAUAAAGCAGGAGACAGAAGGCUUUCCUGAAGGUCUGCUAGAUGAGCUCUAAAGGUCAUUUCCACACACGUUUCUGCUGAACGCCUCCCGCACAUUUCUCCGAGAAGCGAAAGUGAAACAGCAGAGGCUUUAAACCCUCCAGUGUGUCUGUGCUCGUCCUGAAGCCUCUGCGAACACCAGGAGCUCGGAUAAACCGCUUUGAUUCCGUUAAUAAGACGCCACGGUGGAUUCUCCGAGCAAGAUUUAAUGCAGGAGGCUGUGGGAAAUCUGCUGACCUGAGAAGACCGGCUCAGAAAUGAUCUCUCAAGCUAUGACUUUCAUCAGCUGAUACUAAUGAAAGCACUUCAUUACAGGACAUUGUUUUAAAAGGAUGUUUUCUUGAAUCUGGCUCUGUGGUGGUUUCGUUUUUCAUCACUUGUCACUUGUUUAAUGUGUUUUCUUUAUUGCAUUUACUUGAUGCUUUUCUCUAAAGUGACUUAUUGAUCCAUAUGACGGGAUUCGGCUGUAAUGUUCUUUAUUCUCUUGCCUGAACAAAAAAAUAAAUAAACUGUUUUCCUCACUGAAUCAUACCUGGAAUUUUCUGAAUUUCACUAUGACAGAAAUGCAGCGAUUAACUUUCUGAAUGUUUUUCAUGUUUUGCUGCUCCACAUCGGGUUGAAAUGAAUGAAGCAGAAUCUGGGUAUCAGUUCCAAACUCGUACGAUUGUCUUUCUUCUGUGGAACAAGGAAGAUUUGUUAGAGAAUCAAUGCAAUAAUAGUCAGUGGGGUCUAAAGUUUCAAGCACCAAAAAAACAUAAAUGUGGUGUAAAAGUCAUCAUACAACUCCAGCAGACUCUUCUGAAGCCAUACGAUCACUUUACACAACUAUCGGAGGGACCUCAAAUCAGCUCAUGUUUACAGACCUUUCUGAAAAUCAAGUAUGCUUUAAAAAGAGCACUUAAGUAAUAUACUUCAGAACAAUAUAUGGUCACACUUUAGUUUAGGGGACCAGUUCUUACUACUUUUGCCUCAAUAAACUCCUUAUUUGCUGCUUAUUAAUAGUUAGUAAGGUAGUUUAGGUAUUGGGUCAAAAUAAGGCAUCUAAAAUAUGCUUGUGCAUCAAAAUGUGUUAUAUUAGUGCUAAUAAACAGCCAAUAUGCUAGUAAUAUGCAUGCUAGUUAAUAGUGAGAACUGGCCCUUAAACUAAAGUGUUAAUUUAUAUACUUAAAGGGGACAUCAGAUGCAAAAUUCACUUUUACAUGAAUAUAAUGUGUGUUGGCAGUGUGUGGACACAAUUACCCUACAAUGAUAAAAAACACUCUUUUUUUUUUAAUCCCCAAAAAUCCUAUACAGUCUCAGUGACCAAGCUUUGAUUUUCUGAGCAGUAUGACGUCAUAUUGCUCAAGCCCCGCCCACAGCCGCUGACGGUGUUCUGAAAUAUUUGGUGUCUGAGAUUUUCUGUGAAACUGGGCGAAGCUUACAUGAAUAUUCAUGAGUUUCCUCUUAAAGUGCAGUUAAAACAUUAGUGCUCCUCGGAUCAAAAAAAAAAAAAAAAACCUGUUUCCGGUAACAUCAUUUCUUUUCAGCGUUGAUCUGAUUUUUUAUAUAUAUUUUUAUAUAUGUAUUAUUAUGCACAGCCAUUUACAGUCAUGGCCAAAAAUAUCUUGGUAAAUAUGAUCAAAGGCGGCUGUGAAAAUUAAUCUGCAUUGUUAAUCCUUUUGAUCUUUUAUUUUAAAAAAUCACAAAAAUCUAACCUUUCAUUGGAUAAUAAGAAUUUAAAAUGGGGGGAAAUAUCAUUAUGAAAUUAAUGCUUUUCUCUAAUGUUAAGCAGGCCUCUCCUCUAUCUGUGUUUAAAACCCAUCUUAAAACCCUUCUUUUCUCUUUGGCUUUUGACACCUAGUAAGAUGUCGACUUUAUUUACUUGAUUUAAUUUGUUACUUUGAAUGCUUUUAUUGUGUGGUUAUUAAUUGUACAUAUGUUUAUUUUUUCUGUACAGCACUUUGGUCAACUGUGGUUGUUGUAAAGUGCAUAACAAAUAAAGUUGGUAUGGUAUGGUAAUACACACUGGACACAAUUAACGGCACCCUUUUAUUCAAUACUUUCUGAAACCUCCUUUUGCCAGUUUAACAGCUCUACAUGUUCUCCUAUAAUGCCUGAUGAGGUUAGAGAACACCUGACAAGAGAUCAGAGCUCAUUUCUUAGUUUAAUCUCACCAUAGAAGCCAGUCCCAUUUAAAGUUUGAGUCGUGUCUGAUAACUGAAUAUGCUUUAGUUUGUUUUUGGAUGAGCUAGGAGAAUUUUUCUUGUAACCCUCCUAAACAACAUGUGAUGAUGUUCUGUUUGGUUGGAAAUUCUUAAUUAUUGUCCUGAUGGUGGAAAUGGGAAUUUUCACUGCUCUAGCUCUUUUCUUAAAGCCACUUCACCAAUUUGUGAAGCUCAAUUAUCUUUUGCUGCACAUCAGAAAUAUAUUCUUUGGUUUUUCUCAUUGUGAUGGAUGAUUCAGGGAAUUUGGGCUUUGUUUUCCCUCAUAUUUAUAUUUCUGUGAAACAGGAAGCCUUGGCUCGAUAAUUUCAUGUUCAUAAUCACCCUGGAGUGCCCAAAAUUGUGAAUAUGAAUGGGAAUAUACUUCUGAGAUAUAUUACUCAUAAGAAUUUCUAGGGGUGCCAAUAAUUGUGCCCAAUGUGUAUUAGAGAAAAACUUUCAUUUCAUAAUGAUAUUUCCCCCCAUUUUAAAUUCUUAUUAUCCAAUGAAAGGUUGGAUUUUUGUGAAUUUUUAAAAAUAAAAGAUCAAAAGGAUUAACAAUGCAGAUUAAUUUUCACUGCCUUCUUUGAUCAUAUUUACCAAGGGUGUCGAUAUUUUUGGCCAUGACUGUAUUUAUUACAGACGGAAUCCCGUUUAUCGUUAGAAUGUACAUCAAGUAAUCAAGCCAACAGCCCUCGUCUUUUUGUCAUAGCCUACUUCGGUUUAACAACUUUAAAACAGUUUCAUUUGAUAACUUGUGUAAGCUAUAUAUGAAUACAUAUGUACUCUUUAUGAAUGUUUUGUUGCUGUUUGUUUUUUUCUUUACAAUUUUAAUUAUACAAAUAUGAAUUGCAUUUAUCUUAUGAUCAUGUUACAUAUUUUUUUAUGAAAAUUGUUAAAGUUGUACUUUUUUUCCCCCAUCCAGUUCAGCAAAUGGUCAAAAAGGGUUACAUAAUGUACUUUUAUGAGACGCUUUUAUCCAAAGCGACUUACAGUCUAUACAUUUCUGUUAUUUAUUCACCAGCAUGUGUGUUCCCAGCGAAUUGAACCCAUGACCUUUCAUCUGUUAACAUAGUGCUCUACCACCGAGCCACAGGAACACUUGAAGCAUCAGGAACACUAAUGUACUGUAUGUAACAUGUUGGCUGGCUUACUGGAAAAAUGCAUCAUCUUUUGAAUUUAAGUCUGUUAUCUGUAUAAUGAGCCUGAAACUAUCAUAUGGCACAAAACAAUUAGAACAGUGUGUAGACACCUGCUGAAAUCCCUCUCACGUCUUCUCCAUAUACACAUUUGUGAUUAAACAUUUAUC